GUCGACAACAGCAAUAGAUGUUUUCGGUAUUUCCGCGCGUGGUGUUGUAUUGAGAAUAGGCGUAGAGUGCUGUCCCGUGCUUCCCGUCCCGGGAUGAACCCCGUUUGGUCCACAUGGACAAGGCUCGGAAGGAUUCGUUGGAGUCUAGUUGCCAACACCUUAGUUAACAACUUAGUAUCCACAUUUAGCAGAGAGAUUGGCCGAUAGUUACAGCAUUGUUCUGGGUCUUUCCCCGGCUUAAG